rnacentral:lncRNA from 1 species
GUCUAUAAAGCUUAUAUAUGCUCCCACAUUCGAUAGUUCAAGCUUUCGGUACAUACUUCUAGGACAUAAUUCAAAAUUCCAAGUCUAUGGUAUAUAUUUUCACGAAGCUCAAGGAAGUAGCAAAGUAAAAGAACAUUUUCAAGACUUCAAAAUUAGAUAUAUUCCUCAUCUAAACAAAUCUACAGUGUAUGUCUUAGCUAUGAGGGUUAGAUCUUUCCACAAAAUAUUAU